rnacentral:rRNA from 1 species
CGAACGGAGCACCCCUGAUGGAGUUUUCGGACAACAGAUGGGAAUGCUUAGUGGCGGACGGGUGAGUAACGCGUGAGGAACCUGCCUUGGAGAGGGGAAUAACACAGUGAAAAUUGUGCUAAUACCGCAUGAUGCAGUUGGGCCGCAUGGCCCUGACUGCCAAAGAUUUAUCGCUCUGAGAUGGCCUCGCGUCUGAUUAGCUGGUUGGUGGGGUAACGGCCCACCAAGGCGACGAUCAGUAGCCGGACUGAGAGGUUGACCGGCCACAUUGGGACUGAGACACGGCCCAGACUCCUACGGGAGGCAGCAGUGGGGAAUAUUGGGCAAUGGGCGCAAGCCUGACCCAGCAACGCCGCGUGAAGGAAGAAGGCUUUCGGGUUGUAAACUUCUUUUAUGAGGGACGAAAGAAAUGACGGUACCUCAUGAAUAAGCCACGGCUAACUACGUGCCAGCAGCCGCGGUAAUACGUAGGUGGCAAGCGUUAUCCGGAUUUACUGGGUGUAAAGGGCGUGUAGGCGGGACUGCAAGUCAGAUGUGAAAAUUAUGGGCUCAACCCAUAACCUGCAUUUGAAACUGUAGUUCUUGAGUGAUGGAGAGGCAGGCGGAAUUCCGUGUGUAGCGGUGAAAUGCGUA